rnacentral:rRNA from 1 species
AUUGAACGCUGGCGGCAGGCCUAACACAUGCAAGUCGAACGAGUGGCGGACGGGUGAGUAAUGUCUGGGAAACUGCCUGAUGGAGGGGGAUAACUACUGGAAACGGUAGCUAAUACCGCAUACCAUCGGAUGUGCCCAGAUGGGAUUAGCUUGUCGGUGAGGAAACGGCUCACCUAGGCGACGAUCCCUAGCUGGUCUGGGAGGAUGAGCAGCAGACCUGCAACUGCGAAACGGUCCAGGCGCUGACGGGAGUCAGCAGUGGGGAAUAUUGACCAAGGGGGGCAAGACGGAUGCAGUCAUGCGGCGGGUAUGAAGAGGGCCGGCGGGUUGUUAAGUACGUUCAGCGGGGAGGCGUUGCCCGCAGAAGAAGCACCGGCUAACUCCGUGCUAGCAUCCGCGGUAAUAC